rnacentral:rRNA from 1 species
GACGAACGCUGGCGGCGCGCCUAACACAUGCAAGUCGAACGAGAGAGAGGAAGCUUGCUUCCUUAAUCGAGUGGCGAACGGGUGAGUAACGCGUGAGGAACCUGCCUCAAAGAGGGGGACAACAGUUGGAAACGACUGCUAAUACCGCAUAAGCCCACAGCUCGGCAUCGAGCAGAGGGAAAAGGAGUGAUCCGCUUUGAGAUGGCCUCGCGUCCGAUUAGCUAGUUGGUGGGGUAAUAGCCUACCAAGGCGACGAUCAGUAGCCGGACUGAGAGGUUGAACGGCCACAUUGGGACUGAGAUACGGCCCAG